GACGAACGCUGGCGGCGUGCUUAACACAUGCCAGUCGAACGGAAAGGCCCUGCUUGCCGGGUACUCGAGUGGCGAACGGGUGAGUAACACGUGGGUGAUCUGCCCUGCACUUCGGGAUAAGCCUGGGAAACUGGGUCUAAUACCGGAUAGGAGCCAUUUUUAGUGUGAUGGUUGGAAAGUUUUUUCGGUGUAGGAUGAGCUCGCGGCCUAUCAGCUUGUUGGUGGGGUAAUGGCCUACCAAGGCGGCGACGGGUAGCCGGACUGAGGGGGUGGACGGCGACACUGGGACUGAGGUACGGCACAGACUGCUACGGGAGGCAGAAGGGGGGAAUAUUGCACAAGGGGCGCAAGCCUGAUGCAGCGACGCCGCGUGGGGGAUGACGGCCUUCGGGUUGAAAACUCCUUUCGCUAGGGACGAAGCUUUUUGUGACGGUACCUAGAUAAGAAGCACCGGCUAACUACGUG
rnacentral:rRNA from 1 species